CCUACGGGAGGCAGCAGUGGGGAAUAUUGGACAAUGGGCGCAAGCCUGAUCCAGCAAUGCCGCGUGAGUGAUGAAGGCCUUAGGGUCGUAAAGCUCUUUUACCAGGGAUGAUAAUGACAGUACCUGGAGAAUAAGCUCCGGCUAACUCCGUGCCAGCAGCCGCGGUAAUACGGAGGGAGCUAGCGUUGUUCGGAAUUACUGGGCGUAAAGCGUACGUAGGCGGUUAUUCAAGUCAGAGGUGAAAGCCCGGGGCUCAACCCCGGAACGGCCUUUGAAACUAGGUAGCUAGAAUCUUGGAGAGGUCAGUGGAAUUCCGAGUGUAGAGGUGAAAUUCGUAGAUAUUCGGAAGAACACCAGUGGCGAAGGCGACUGACUGGACAAGUAUUGACGCUGAGGUACGAAAGCGUGGGGAGCAAACAGGAUUAGAUACCCUGGUAGUCCACGCCGUAAACGAUGAUAACUAGCUGUUCGGGCACUUGGUGCUUGAGUGGNGCAGCUACGCAUUAAGUUAUCCGUCCGUCGGGUAGGUACGGUCGCGAGAAGUUAAACGUUAAAGGUAAAGUUAGACGGUCGUGUAGACGUUGUCCGAACGGACGACGACGAGGGAGGUAGG
rnacentral:rRNA from 1 species